rnacentral:rRNA from 1 species
AGAGUUUGAUCAUGGCUCAGAUUGAACGCUGGCGGCAGGCCUAACACAUGCAAGUCGAACGGUAACAGGAUGUGCUUGCACAUCCCUGACGAGUGGCGGACGGGUGAGUAAUGCUUGGGAACUUGCCUUUGCGAGGGGGAUAACAGUUGGAAACGACUGCUAAUACCGCAUAAUGUCUUCGGACCAAACGGGGCUUAGGCUCCGGCGCAAAGAGAGGCCCAAGUGAGAUUAGCUACUUGGUAAGGUAACGGCUUACCAAGGCGACAAUCUCUAGCUGUUCUGAGAGGAAGAUCAGCCACCUGGGACUGAGACACCGCCC